rnacentral:lncRNA from 1 species
UCCUACUUAUUGGGUUUCUCGGUCUUAAAUAGGUCGAUGACUACGACUGUUUGGCAUACUCCACAACAAGGUGUUGAUCACCUUCGUACUCCGCUUUAUAGCCAUAUAUUUAACCGCCUUCUUAGGGCUAAAGAGUUCGCAAGUGGACCAGGGAUUGACCGAAAACACUAGUACUAUAUGCCUCGACCGCGACUUGCUGUGGUCUUGGGCAUGGGAAUAGAACCAGAAUAGAAAGCUGAACAAAGACCUUUA